GUCGAACCAUGCCUACGUCUACGUGUAAUGUGCAUUAGUAUAGUGUUCAGAACCGCGUGUCUCGCAACGAAGAGACUUCAUUCACGAGUUUCGCCGAAUAAAGGUACUUGCACCCCGCGGCGGACAUUCAAUCGGGUUCACUUCCUCCGGGCUCGUUUGUCCGUGAAAUUCCUACACGCCCACAACAAAAUUCGAGUCCAGGGGUCCCUGCGGGCGAGAUGUCCUAUAUGGGUCAUCCCAGAAGAUAUCAACAACAUGAUCAACUUCUUAAGAAAAACCUACCUGCUCAACCAAAUCUAGAUGAUAACGGCAUCGCAACACACCUUCACACGGUAGAAACAAUGUAUUAUAUUUAAGUAUAUCUGUAUACACCUAAAUGUAUAUAUAUAUAAUAAAAAUAAAAAACUGUAUCUAAUGGCCUUUGAA